rnacentral:rRNA from 1 species
AUUAUGGCUCAGGAUGAACGCUAGCGGCAGGCUUAACACAUGCAAGUCGAGGGGCAUCGGGAGUAGCAAUACUGCCGGCGACCGGCGCAAGGGUGCGUAACGCGUGAGCAACAUGCCCGUAUCAGGGGGGAUAAUCCAUGGAAACGUGGUCUAAUACCCCAUAGUAAUUAUGUAAGGCAUCUUAUAUAAUUUAAAGCUUUGGUGGAUACGGAUUGGCUCGCGUGACAUUAGCUAGAUGGUAAGGUAACGGCUUACCAUGGCUACGAUGUCUAGGGGUUCUGAGAGGAAGGUCCCCCACACUGGAACUGAGACACGGUCCAGACUCCUACGGGAGGCAGCAGUGAGGAAUAUUGGACAAUGGAUGGAAAUCUGAUCCAGCCAUGCCGCGUGCAAGGAAGACGGCCCUAUGGGUUGUAAACUGCUUUUGUAUGGGAGCAAUAAGGGCUACGCGUGGUCCGAUGAGAGUACCAUACGAAUAAGCACCGGCUAACUCCGUGCCAGCCGCCGC